rnacentral:rRNA from 1 species
GACGAACCGUGCGAACGUUGUUCGGAUUCACUGGGCUUAAAGGGCGCGUAGGCGGACAAUCAAGUCAGGGGUGAAAUCUUUCGGCCCAACCGGAAAAGUGCCUUUGAUACUGGUUGUCUCGAGGGAGGUAGGGGCGUGUGGAACUUCCGGUGGAGCGGUGAAAUGCGUAGAUAUCAUUUGGAACGCCAAUGGUGAAAACAGGUAGCUGGGAGUGUGCUGACGCUGAGACACGAAAGCCAGGGGAGCAAACGGG